UGAUACCCUAUUAUUUUGAAUGUAAAUUUUAUGUUUAGUAUUAUUAGUUGUUCUAUAAAUUAAAAGAAUUUGACGGUAAUUUGAUCAUUCUAGAGGAGCCUGUUCUUUAAUUGAUAAUCCACGAUAAAUUUUACCUUAAUUUAUUGUUUGUAUAUCUCUGUUUAUUUAUGAGUGUUUUAAUAGAAUAUUUUAUUCUCUUUUAUUAUUUAUAUAAUCUAUUUCAGGUCAAGGUGCAGCUAUAUUAAGGUAAGUAAUGGGCUACAUUUUAUUUUAUAAUAAUUUGGAUUUAAUUUAAUGUAUUUUUUUAAUGAAAAUGGAUUUAGUAGUAAUAGUUAUUA
rnacentral:rRNA from 1 species